AGGGCUGCCUGCGCCCUUCUUGUCUACCCCCAAUGUCCCUCACCCCAGACCAGACUCCUCAAAUCCAGGCAGACUCCUGCUUUGUUACUUAACAAAGGGCCCGGAGCACCUGGGUGAAAAGGUUCAGAGGAAACAGAACCUGACGAAAGUCCUGGUUUGUCACUGUUAGCAGGGACCUGAAGAGCUGAAGUACUCCCUGCAGACCUAACCCUGCUGCUGGGGUGGAAUACGUCUGGAACUGCCCUGGCCACCCCCUCAGUCUUCAAGGACAAAAUUACCCUUUCAAGGAGUCUGUGUUUGAAAGCUCUCCUGGUCUCCAAGUUCCACACAGCUGGUUUUCUUUGGGAAAAGAGUGUAUUUGAGAAAAGGGAGAUUAUCUUGGAAUAUUCAAGUCAGCCCACUGUCAUCACAGGCUCCUUACAAGUGGCAGAGACAGAAGAAUGGGGGAAAGAGAUGUAAGUAAAGAUGGCACGUCAGACUGUGACGAGAGGACUCCAUUUGCCAUCA